UUGCCAGCCCGCUCAGAAACUCAAAGGAAGUUAGACGGGGCCCGGCACAAGCGGUGGAGCAUGUGGUUAAUUCGAUGAUACGCGAGGAACCUUACCUGGGCUCAAAUGUAUGUUGACGUAUUCUGAAAGGGAUACUUCUUCGGACAAUAUACAAGGUGCUGCAUGGUUGUCGUCAGCUCGUGCCGUGAGGUGUCGGGUUAAGUCCCAUAACGAGCGCAACCCCUAUCAUUAGUUGCCAUCAGGUCAAGCUGGGGACUCUAAUGAAACUGCCUACGCAAGUAGUGAGGAAGGUGGGGAUGACGUCAAAUCAGCACGGCCCUUACGUCCAGGGCUACACACGUGCUACAAUGGCCGGUACAAAGGGCAGCUACCUGGUGACAGGAUGCUAAUCUCAAAAGCCGGUCUCAGUUCGGAUCGGAGUCUGCAACCCGACUCCGUGAAGCUGGAAUCGCUAGUAAUCGUGGAUCAGCAUGCCACGGUGAAUACGUUCCCGGGCCUU
rnacentral:rRNA from 1 species